ensembl:lncRNA
UGACCCAGGUCAGCCCGGUUUACCAGGAGUUCCAGGAGAUCCCGGUGUCGGUUUCCCUGGACCCCAGGGACAACCUGGAGGUCCAGGACCAGAAGGGGACAGUGGACUUCCAGGGCCCCAAGGUCCAGAGGGCCCCGAGGGACAACCGGGUCCAAAAGGUACACCCUUACACCCCUUUAAAGAUGCAGUCUGGGAUUUUAAGCACUUAUACAUUCGUAACAUAUCAUACGAAUUGCAAAAAUAAUUAAAACUGGGACCUGUUUUGGCUCAUGAGCACUAUUUUCAAAUCUACUGGCUAAAAUUAUACAAAAGCUCUGGAGCAUCACAUGAACUAUGUUUAUCACUCAAUGUGGAUCCUUUGUGUAAGUUAAGCCUACUUAUAUCUUCAUUAGGUGAGGCUGGCGUUCCAGGUGCUCCAGGUAUCCCUGGCUACUCCAGUGGUGGAUCAUCCAGGAGUUCCCCUGGAGCACCAGGUCCACCUGGACCUCCCGGCCGUGAUGGGCCACCUGGGUCUGGGUCUGGAACACCGGACGUCCGCCAAUACAUCACAGAAUACCUCAAGAGCGAUGGUGUCAGGGAGUACAUGUCGGGACCUCCGGGUCCUCCGGGUGUACCGGGGCCCCCUGGUGACGGAUCAGUGGAGUCAGUGGACGAUCUUGCUAGUCGCGUUAUCGCGUAUAUCCAGAGUGGAGGUAUUGCUAGUGGGGUGCCUGGACCUCCAGGCCCGCCUGGUGCUCCCGGUGGAGGCAGUACAUCGCUAAAUGACAUCAUCAGCCUUCUACAGAGUGAGGAAGUGCGACGCUACGUCAUCGGUCCUCCUGGCCCUGCUGGACCUCCUGGCAUCCCAGGGAUCCCAUGGAGAGGAGGCUAUGGCUUUAAUACCCAUGAGGUGGCUGGACGGGUCCUCACUCUAAUGAAUGAUUCUGAAUACAGAGGUGCCUUGGGCGCUCAGGGGCCUCCUGGUCCACCUGGUGUCCCAGGCCCUGCUGGCCCUCAAGGCCCUGCCGGUCCUUCAGGACAGGCCCCCUACAGCAGCUCUGGAUACAGGCUGGAGGAGGUCAAGGACUACAUACAGAGUGGUCUAAGAGGGGGAAUGUUUGGGUCCCCAGGCCCCCCAGGUCCCCCUGGACCUCAGGGACACAAGGGAGAGCAGGGUAACUCUGGGUACGGCCACACCUUUGACCACAGGACCAGCGAAGGAAGAAGGCUGGCUGAGACUGAGACAGACUUCUCCAAUAUAGCGGUCCGAGUGACUGACUACAUCAAGUACCAUGGUCUGUUGAGGGACGUGGUUGAGAACCGGUCUCAGCUGGAGAAGGCACAGGUUGUUCAAGGACCCCCAGGACCCCCUGGCCCUCCCGGUGCUCCAGGAUUCAGCCGUGUGUUUGGUUCCCAUAGUAACGUCACUGACCUUAUGGAAUACAUCAGAGCCCAUGGAAACACUGUGGGACCCCCUGGAAGGCCAGGACAGAAAGGGGACAUGGGACAUACAGGUCACAAAGGCGAGAGAGGACUGGAUGGCAUCCCAGGAAGGGCAGGCCUCCCUGGUCUGGAGUGGAAAAGGGGGGGGGGAGGGGGAGAAAGGUACGUCAUAAUUAUCACAGAGAACCUUUUCAAGUUUUCCCUUUACCAACAUCCCUAAGCAUGAUGCUACAGUAGGAUCCAUCUAGUGAUACUAUACAGUGCCUUGCGAAAGUAUUCGGCCCCCUUGAACUUUGCGACCUUUUGCCACAUUUCAGGCUUCAAACAUAAAGAUAUAAAACUGUAUUU